GGUGCUCACCAGCUCCCAUCUGAAUGGAGUUAGAGGCUGGCUAGCAGGAGUGCAGAGGAGAAGAGUCUCCUGGGGCUGUUGGCUCAGCAAGCGGGACCAGAGGAUGGCUCCAUGGAUUAGGGCCCCACAGUGGUCCAUUGUUAAUUGGGCGCCAUGUGUGAAAGCUACAGAGAGAUUAGUUUGUACAGCUGCUGCCAUUUGUCAUAACUGCCCUUAACAAGACACACAUGGCAACCCAAGUUACAGCCAGAAGUUUUACAGAAAAAAGGGAGAAAAAAUGUCUGGUGAGCGUCUAAUAGUUUGCAAAACAGACCUGUAUAAGCAGAUGAAGAUGUUCCUGGGAAACACCAAGCAGACUCAGCUGGGAUCCCAUAAGAGAUGAUGAGUUUGGGGCAUUACUUAUCUAGCCAUCUGUGGGUCAACUAGGGUCAUUAUCAUAACUGCUCAAAACGCUAUGUUAAGCCAGUAGAGAUUCCAGACCACAGGUUGUAAACAAUUCUGUGAAAACUAUGAGGCAAGAUCUGCUAUUACAUCAUGGCCCUGUUGGGCAAAGCUCAAUUUAGACGGGGCCUGUGUUUUAUUAGACCGACAUGAGUGGGAUAUUACGGAGAUAACAAGAGGACUAGAGACUGUUAAAGCCCGACGACCUCUUGCUUGCCAGAUUUCCUUGGCAAUGUAAGCUACGCCAUGAGGUUUAAGAGAGGGAUGGUGGAGUAGAGUUAUUUUUUGAUGCGAGAGCACUGAGGAGUUGCCGCUCCUUGAAUCUAAAUGCAGUUUUUUCGGCCCCAAAGUGCAGGACAAAGAGCUGCACUCACCAUCCACCACGUCCUGGCUGAGACGUCAUAACAAAGCUGCCAUUUGAUGGACCUCUCGGCCAGUUUCCCAGACAUCCCUGCUCUGCUCGGCUCCGGUCGUGGACGAUGGGACACCUAAUCAGAGGAGCAUCAGUGGAGGCAUGCUGGGCCACAUGCAGACCAGGCCAGGGCAGCGGUGCAUCAUGGGAAAUAAUACUGAUUAAAAAAAAAAAUCAGCAACAGCUUGACCAGUGACUUCAACCUGACUGUGGUAAUUAUAAGAGCCAUGACCCUGCAACCCCACCAUCCCCCCUCCCACACUAACCUCCUCCCCCUUCUGCCUCACCCCCCACCCUCCAAUCCUUCCUUCUUUCUUUCACUUGUUGUGCUGCAGAUGAACCACAGCGGACAUUUAUCACCGUUACCGGUUGAUUUUCUGUAAUAUUCAGUCAUUUUAUUCACAUUGCGUGUAUUUGUUCUUGUUAAAUUGCACCAAACUGCAUUCAAUUUGCUUGAAAAGUGCUAUUUAAGUCCAAUUUGAUUGAUUUAUUCAUUGAAUUUGCUGCAAAAUUUGCCCAUUGUUUGUUAUUUAUGCUGCAUUUAUUUCCUGAAACCACAUGUGUACUUAUGUUUGCUCACAAUUGUGCUUUGUGAUUUUUUUUUUGCGCAACUUAAACCAUUUUUUUUAAAUAUAUGGUGGAAAUCCAGAAGUGCAACAUGAGUUACACAACUGUUUUUAUUGUUCUUUAUUUACAAAAGAAGCGCUUUAAAAGAAUAAGACAUCACACUGUUUUGUUCCACUAGAUGUUACAUUUUAUAUUUGCACAUUUGUAAUUGAAAAAUGUGACAGGAUUGCUCAUUUAUUCACUUUUAUGCUGUGCAAUGCCAACAAAAGUAUUCUGUUCCAUUCUAUUAAUUGACUUCAGCGGGCCUUAGGUGAAAAAUGAGGCAAACUAAUUUAAUUUAGCUCCCAAUUUCCCCGGAACAAACAUUUGAAUUUGGAUGCAGCUGAGACCAGAAGUAUCAUUCUUUAAUAAUGUGCUGAUUGUGAGUCAGUGCUGACGUUUGGACUUCAUGCUCGUCUCUCUGCCUUCAACCGAAUCUCACCUGCAAGUGCCAGGAGUUCUCCAUUACAGCAACUUCCUGUCAGAAGAGGUCUCAAAAUUCUAGACUUUUCCAUUUAAAAAAAAAAAAUCCACUUGUGAGGAUUUAGAGGUUAAAGGUUAUCAAAAGUCACUGGAAAUGAAUGAUCACAUUGCAUCAAAGUCCACCUCAGACUUCACUGCGACUGACCGUGUUAGGAUCCAUAGCUUAAGGCAUUUUUUCGUGUCCGUGUGAAUGUAAUCUGGAUGCCUUCUGAAAAGACCUUUUCUCUCCUGCCACAUUCCAAUCCUCCUCGCUGAGGCCGCUCAGUAGCAGCUGGAUUUCCCCACAAUGCCGGUGGGUGGACUUAGCAACAGCAACUUAGCAUUAAUUACAAAAAACAAAAACAAGGCUAAUGCUUGGAAAUGAAAACAAGCAUUUGGUUUGAUUGCGUCGUCGUGUUCGACACAGCGGGCCUGUUGUUUAACGCCAUAUUUGAAAUGUAAGUGAAGAUCCAUUAUAAGCAGACACUAAUUGGAAAUACGGAGGACUGGUCGCUCACAGAAAGCAUCCAGCUGAUUGCUGCUCUUCAUCGUGCUCACAGGUGACCUUUUCAGCGCACCUGACUUCAAUAAAGCGCUAAUUAGGAGCCUGAUUAGGAGCGGCUAAUUGAACAAGUUCUUCAACAGAAGGAACAAUAAGACACUCAGCCGCCACCGUGGAAGGCAAAUAUCGGCUCACAGCAGAGACAAUAGAAUGAGUUUUACUCUGAGAUUGUUUGAUUUCAGCGACAACGGUGAAUUACAUGAAAGAAGGAGUCUGAAUAGUUGAACCAGGAUCGUGAGGUCGAACAUUUUCACGUGUUUUUCCUGAAGCAAUACAUUACUCAGUAUUUGAAAAACUGGUUUAAUAAAGGCUCUUUGUCCUGAUUGAUGAUUUGUUUGUACUCCUGGGGUGCAUUUAACAUGGAUACUUCAUGAUUUUUUCCAAGAAUUGCUCAUAAAUAUGCAUUUGAAUUGACGAUAGCAGAAACUUGAUGCCACUCCAUGCAUUUUCUUGUUCAAAGUUAAAAAUAACUCAAAAAUGAAUCUUAAAACCAAAGAAAAACACAAAAUAAAGAAGAAAAUGAUGCUUUG